CGUGAAACCUUGUCUGAACAUAGGGGGACCAUCCUCUAAGGCUAAAUACUACCUACCGACCGAUAGUGAACCAGUACCGUGAGGGAAAGGCGAAAAGAACCCCGUUGAGGGGAGUGAAAUAGAACCUGAAACCGUGUGCGUACAAGCAGUAGGAGCCCAAUUUAUUGGGUGACUGCGUACCUUUUGUAUAAUGGGUCAGUGAGUUACUUUUAGUGGCAAGCUUAACUUUCUUAGGGAGGCGAAGGGAAACCGAGUCUUAAUAGGGCGUUUAGUCGCUAGGAGUAGACCCGAAACCAGACGAUCUAUCCAUGGCCAGGGUGAAGGUGGGGUAAUACCUACUGGAGGCCCGAACCCACUUAUGUUGAAAAAUGAGGGGAUGAGCUGUGGAUAGGAGUGAAAGGCUAAUCAAGUCUGGAGAUAGCUGGUUCUCCCCGAAAACUAUUUAGGUAGUGCCUCAUGUAUUACUCUCGGGGGUAGAGCACUGUUUCGGCUAGGGGGACAUCCCGUCCUACCAAACCGAUGCAAACUCCGAAUACCGAGAAGUAGAGCAUGGGAGACACACAGCGGGUGCUAACGUCCGUUGUGGAAAGGGAAACAACCCAGAUCGCCAACUAAGGUCCCAAAAUUACAGCUAAGUGGGAAACGAAGUGAGAAGUCAAAGACAGCCAGGAGGUUGGCUUAGAAGCAGCCAUCCUUUAAAGAAAGCGUAACAGCUCACUGGUCAAGUCGACUUGCGCGGAAGAUUUACCGGGGCUUAAGCUGUAUACCGAAGUUGCGAAUGCAUAUUUAUAUGCGUGGUAGGGGAGCGUUCUGUAAGUCUGUGAAGGUGUAUCGCGAGAUAUGCUGGAGAUAUCAGAAGUGAGAAUGCUGACAUGAGUAACGAUAAUGCGGGUGAAAAACCCGCACGCCGAAAACCCAAGGGUUCCUGCGCAAUGCUAAUCAGCGCAGGGUUAGUCGGUCCUAAGGCGAGACUGAAAAGUGUAGUCGAUGGACAACAGGUUAAUAUUCCUGUACCGCAAUUACUGCGAUGGGGGGACGGAGAAGGCUAAGCAUACCGGGUGUUGGUUAUCCCGGGAAAAGUAUGUAGGUAGGAAAUCUUAGAAAAUCUGGAUUUCUAUUACCGAGGUACGAGACCAUUGAUUUUUUAAUCAAGAAGUUGCUGACGCCAUGCUUCCAAGAAAAUCCUCUAAGCUUCAGGUAAAUUGUGACCGUACCCUAAACCGACACAGGUGGGUGGGAUGAGAAUUCUAAGGCGCUUGAGAAAACUCUGGUGAAGGAACUAGGCAAAUUGGUACCGUAACUUCGGGAGAAGGUACGCCUUUGUUGGUAAAAGAACUUGCUUCUGGAGCUGACGAAGGUCUCAGAAACUAGGUGGCUGCGACUGUUUAAUAAAAACACAGCACUCUGCUAACUCGCAAGAGGAUGUAUAGGGUGUGACGCCUGCCCGGUGCCGGAAGGUUAAUUGAUGGGGUUAGCUUUAUGCGAAGCUCUUGAUCGAAGCCCCGGUGAACGGCGGCCGUAACUAUAACGGUCCUAAGGUAGCGAAAUUCCUUGUCGGGUAAGUUCCGACCUGCACGAAUGGCGUAACGAU
rnacentral:rRNA from 1 species